AUGGGAAACUUCAAGAUAGCAUGUGUUGUUAUAAAGUGCAUGGCUUUAAUGUAUGCACAAAAUGGUGGUAUAGUUUCAUGCGGCGUUAAAGGGUUAGUUAAUGCGGCUAAAACCAUGGUCGACCUUCGUGCAAUUUGUGAUUUUUUGAUGUCUGCUACUGCUGCUAUCAAUGGAAUCAAUGCGGACUAUGCUGCUGCACUCCCUGGAAAAUGUGGGAAUAAUAUCCCUUACAUGUAUCAAGUAAAUUGUAUCAUGCCAUAA